UAUAUUUUUUGGGCUUUUUUUCCCCAUUUCUUUUGUACGUUUUUUGGGCUUUUUUUGGCUGGUUUUGUUUCUUUUUUUUAUUAUUAUUUAUUUAUUUUUAUUUUUUUUUGCAUUUUUCAUACAUUUUUUUGCUUUCCUUUUUAGCAUUUCUUUUUACUUCUUUUCUUUUGCGUUUUAUCAUUGAUAUGAAUAAAAAUAGAGCUUCUUUUUACACAUUAGAAUUUAUAUUCUUAGUUAUUUAGUCAAUUAGUCAAGUAAACAUUGUCGUAAUAAAAAGUAAUCAUUGAUAUGAUAAAAUGUAAUAUUUUAAAAAUAUUACAUUUCUUCACAAUAAUAUUUAUUUUUAUUCAUAAAAAUAUUUACUUUUAGUUAUUUAUUCAAGUAAUUAUUUUUUAAAAGCAAAAGUAAUUAUUGAUAUAAAGAAAAAUAAGGGUCACCAUGUUCGGGCUUAUUU
rnacentral:lncRNA from 1 species